rnacentral:rRNA from 1 species
AUACGGAGGGUGCAAGCGUUAUUCGGAAUCACUGGGCGUAAAGGACGCGUAGGCGGGUUGGCAAGUCAGAUGUGAAAUCCUACAGCUUAACUGUAGAACUGCAUUUGAAACUGCUAACCUAGAGUAUGGGAGGGGGAGAUGGAAUUAGUGGUGUAGGGGUAAAGUCCGUAGAUAUCACUAGGAAUACCGAAAGCGAAGGCGAUCUCCUGGAACAUAACUGACGCUAAGGCGUGAAAGCGUGGGGAGCAAACAGGAUUAGAUACCCUAGUAGUCC